AUCCCAUGAUGAGGACACUUGAGUAUGUAGUCUUGAAAGCGCUCCUAAGCUUCUAGGACUGUCUCAUCAUGUUGUUGCUGAAAGCUCGAUAUCUUCCCACGCAGAGCAU
rfam:Sorghum bicolor cultivar BTx623 chromosome 9, whole genome shotgun sequence.